CUGAGCUGAAAUUGGAGGCUUAACCGACAGAGCCACCCAGGCACCCCAAAGGGAAACUUGAUUUAGAAUGGAGUCAGGAAGGCCUAGAGGGACGCUCUCACACAUGAGCGUUCUAUCACAGCUUCCUUCGUCUUCCCAGGUGGGCCCAAGUUCCCUUUACUGCCUCGGCAGGAGGAGGGUUUUCUCCUUGCCCACCAGUCGCCUGGCAGGUGCGAAACCGGGCACCGUCCUGAACUCUGGCUUUCCCCCAAGAGACUGUGGCUCAAAGUGGCCCCUCCUCCCUACCUCCUUUUCCCUCUGUAAUGUUCCUCUCCUUUGUUUUUCAGACUCUGCCUAUGGUUCGCAGUAGUUUGGGGGUGCCAAAUCGCAAUUCUUCUGCUAUUCCUGAACAAACUAAUUUUGCUGCCUGAGGAACUCCCUUUAUCAUGGAAGGCUGGUCUAGUGGUGCUGAACUCCUUGAACCCUUGCUUGUCUGGUACUCUCUUGGUGUCUCCUUCAGUUCGGAAGGACAACAUUGCAGUUUGUGUGUUGUUUGGACCUCUCCAAGCAUCGAUGGAACUUAAUUUGAACCCUCAGGUAAGUCACUUUAAGGUCAUUUUUAACACUUACUUUCUGAGAGAGUGUGAGCAGGGGAAGGGCAGAAAGAGGG